rnacentral:lncRNA from 1 species
CACUAUACACAUUCUUUUUUUUUCUCUCUCUCUCUCUCAACAGAUAUUAGCACUUCUCAGCUCCUGGACACUGCUUCCUUCUUUGGCUCUCUUCCUCAAAAUAUUUGCCCUUUAACAAGGAACCCAGAAUAGAAGAGGAAGGAGAGCAAAUGUGGGGUUAUGUAACACCAAAGAUCAGGUGGAAUGGUUUUUUUUCAGAGUGGUCAGUUUUGAAAAAAAUAAUUAUGAUAACUGAACCAGAUGUAUAAUUUUCUUGGUUUCAGGAACAAGUUUGAUCAAGAAACCACUGUGCCCAUGAAGUUUACCUUUUGAAGGCAGUGUCCUACAUAACCUUCGUGGGGUGAUUCCUGGGUUUCCUUCCCCUCUCCAGAUCUUUCUGUUGUACUCCCCUUUAUUUUCAUCUCAUGCUUCCUUUCCUCACGUCCCCUUCUAUUUUUCUCUUAUGUAAUCUGGGAAAGCUAUUUGUCUCCUAUGCUUUACCCUGUGACUCUGACAUCCAAGUGGAAAACAUGAGUUUGGAUUAAUAUAAGGAUCAGCAGAUAGGCAAAUUAAAAUCACUCUUUUGUCCAACAGUACUGACGGUAUCUUUAUGUUCUCCUCAAAUUGUCUUCCCCUUAGUGUAAAAGUAACAUAUUGUGAGACAGGUAUGGUGCCACACGCCUGUAAUCCCAGCAGCGUGGGAGGCUGAGGUAGUAGGAUUAUAGGUCCAAAGCUAGCCCCAGCAAAAACAAAGCACUAAGCAACUCAGUGAGACACUGUCUCUAAAUAAAAUACAAAAUAGGGCUAGAAAUAUGGCUCAGUGGUCGAAUGCCCCUGAGUUCAAUCCCUGGUACCCCUCCGAAAGUAAUAUAUUUGUG